GCUGGCGGCGUGCCUAAUACAUGCAAGUCGAGCGAACAGAUAAGGAGCUUGCUCCUUUGACGUUAGCGGCGGACGGGUGAGUAACACGUGGGUAACCUACCUAUAAGACUGGAAUAACUCCGGGAAACCGGGGCUAAUGCCGGAUAACAUUUAGAACCGCAUGGUUCUAAAGUGAAAGAUGGUUUUGCUAUCACUUAUAGAUGGACCCGCGCCGUAUUAGCUAGUUGGUAAGGUAAUGGCUUACCAAGGCAACGAUACGUAGCCGACCUGAGAGGGUGAUCGGCCACACUGGAACUGAGACACGGUCCAGACUCCUACGGGAGGCAGCAGUAGGGAAUCUUCCGCAAUGGGCGAAAGCCUGACGGAGCAACGCCGCGUGAGUGAUGAAGGGUUUCGGCUCGUAAAACUCUGUUAUUAGGGAAGAACAAACGUGUAAGUAACUGUGCACGUCUUGACGGUACCUAAUCAGAAAGCCACGGCUAACUACGUGCCAGCAGCCGCGGUAAUACGUAGGUGGCAAGCGUUAUCCGGAAUUAUUGGGCGUAAAGCGCGCGUAGGCGGUUUUUUAAGUCUGAUGUGAAAGCCCACGGCUCAACCGUGGAGGGUCAUUGGAAACUGGGAGACUUGAGUGCAGAAGAGGAAAGUGGAAUUCCAUGUGUAGCGGUGAAAUGCGCAGAGAUAUGGAGGAACACCAGUGGCGAAGGCGACUUUCUGGUCUGUAACUGACGCUGAUGUGCGAAAGCGUGGGGAUCAAACAGGAUUAGAUACCCUGGUAGUCC
rnacentral:rRNA from 1 species